rnacentral:rRNA from 1 species
UACGUAGGCAGCGAGCGUUGUUCGGAAUUACUGGGCGUAAAGAGUGUGUAGGCGGUGCUCUAAGUUCGGUGUGAAAUCUCCUGCUUAACUGGGAGGGUGCGCCGGAAACUGGAGUGCUUGAGCGUGGGAGAGGAAAGCGGAAUUCCUGGUGUAGCGGUGAAAUGCGUAGAGAUCGGGAGGAACAUCUGUGGCGAAGGCGGCCACCUGGACCAACACUGACACUGAGGCACGAAAGCGUGGGGAGCAAACAGG